rnacentral:rRNA from 2 species
GGAGGCCACUGCUAUUGGGAUUCGACUAAGCCAUGCGAGUCUAUGGUUUCGGCCAUGGCGGACGGCUCAUUAACACGUGGUUAACAUACCCUCAGGUGGGGGAUAACCUUGGGAAACUGAGGAUAAUACCCCAUAGAAAAAGCAGUCUGGAACGAUUCUUUUUCGAAAGCAUAUGCGCCUGAGGAUUGGACUGCGCUCGAUUAGGUAGUUGGUGGGGUAAUGGCCCACCAAGCCUACGAUCGGUACGGGCCUUGAGAGAGGAAGCCCGGAGAUGGGGACUGAGACACGGCCCCAGGCCCUACGGGGCGCAGCAGGCGCGAAACCUCCGCAAUGCACGAAAGUGCGACGGGGGGAUCCCAAGUGCUCAUGCACAGCAUGGGCUUUUAUCAAGUGUAAACAGCUUGAGGAAUAAGGGCUGGGCAAGUUCGGUGCCAGCAGCCGCGGUAACACCGACGGCCCGAGUGGUGGCCACUUUUAUUGGGCCUAAAGCGUCCGUAGCCGGUCCAGUAAGUCCUUGUUUAAAUCCUGCGGCUUAACCGCAGGACUGGCAGGGAUACUGCUGGACUUGGGACCGGGAGAGGACAAGGGUACUUCAGGGGUAGCGGUGAAAUGUGUUGAUCCUUGAAGGACCACCUAUGGCGAAGGCACUUGUCUGGAACGGGUCCGACGGUGAGGGACGAAAGCCAGGGGCGCGAACCGGAUUAGAUACCCGGGUAGUCCUGGCCGUAAACUUUGCGAACUAGGUGUUAGGUGGGCCCCGUGCCCAUCUAGUGCCGAAGGGAAGCCGUUAAGUUCGCCGCCUGGGGAGUACGGUCGCAAGACUGAAACUUAAAGGAAUUGGCGGGGGAGCACCACAACGGGUGGAGCCUGCGGUUUAAUUGGAUUCAACGCCGGGCAUCUCACCAGGAGCGACAGCAUGAUGACGGCCAGGUUGACGACCUUGCCUGAAGCGCUGAGAGGUGGUGCAUGGCCAUCGUCAGCUCGUACCGCGAGGCGUCCUGUUAAGUCAGGUAACGAGCGAGACCCGUGCCCUAUGUUGCUACUUUUUCCUCCGGGAGAAAGGCACUCAUAGGGGACCGCUGGCGCUAAGUCAGAGGAAGGAGCGGGCAACGAUAGGUCCGCAUGCCCCGAAUCUCCUGGGCUACACGCGGGCUACAAUGGCUAGGACAAUGGGCCGCAACCCUGAAAAGGGACGCAAAUCUCCUAAACCUAGUCGUAGUUCGGAUCGUGGGCUGUAACUCGCCCACGUGAAGCUGGAAUCCGUAGUAAUCGCAGUUCAUAAUACUGCGGUGAAUGUGUCCCUGCUCCUUGCACACACCGCCCGUCACACCACCCGAGUUGGGUUGAAGUGAGGCCUUGGCCUUUGGCUAGGGUCGAACUUGGGCUCAGCGAGGGGGGUGAA